rnacentral:rRNA from 1 species
UACGUAGGGUGCAAGCGUUGUCCGGAAUUAUUGGGCGUAAAGAGCUCGUAGGCGGUUUGUCGCGUCGGCUGUGAAAACCUGGGGCUCAACCCCGGGCCUGCAGCCGAUACGGGCAAACUAGAAUUCGGUAGGGGAGACUGGAAUUCCUGGUGUAGCGGUGGAAUGCGCAGAUAUCAGGAGGAACACCGGUGGCGAAGGCGGGUCUCUGGGCCGAUACUGACACUGAGAAGCGAAAGCGUGGGGAGCGAACAGG